GAAGCACGUCCGUACAGAAUGCUCUGUGUAUCCAAAAGAAGGUCCCUCAAACACAGCAGUUGGAAGUUUUAGAACUUCUUUCAAAAACUGAUCAAACUUGGAGAAUAUCAUUAGUCCGUUUGAAUCUGAUAUUUGAGAGAAAAUAUAUCUUAGUUUGUCCAGUAUUUUGCCACCACACAUUGUUGCUAACAUUGCUUUCACUGAAAACACUGUCAGCUUCCC
rnacentral:lncRNA from 1 species